rnacentral:rRNA from 1 species
CACUCCUACGGGAGGCAGCAGUGGGGAAUUUUGGACAAUGGGCGAAAGCCUGAUCCAGCAAUGCCGCGUGAGUGAAGAAGGCCUUCGGGUUGUAAAGCUCUUUUGUCAGGGAAGAAACGGUGAAAGCUAAUAUCUUUUGCUAAUGACGGUACCUGAAGAAUAAGCACCGGCUAACUACGUGCCAGCAGCCGCGGUAAUACGUAGGGUGCAAGCGUUAAUCGGAAUUACUGGGCGUAAAGCGUGCGCAGGCGGUUUUGUAAGUCUGAUGUGAAAUCCCCGGGCUCAACCUGGGAAUUGCAUUGGAGACUGCAAGGCUAGAAUCUGGCAGAGGGGGGUAGAAUUCCACGUGUAGCAGUGAAAUGCGUAGAUAUGUGGAGGAACACCGAUGGCGAAGGCAGCCCCCUGGGUCAAGAUUGACGCUCAUGCACGAAAGCGUGGGGAGCAAACAGGAUUAGAAACCCGAGUAGUCCCAUGAU